UACGGGGGGAGCAAGCGUUGUUCGGAUUUACUGGGCGUAAAGAGCUCGUAGGCGGUUUGUUGCGUCGGCUGUGAAAUCCCGAGGCUCAACCUCGGGUCUGCAGUCGAUACGAGCAAACUAGAGUGUUGCAGGGGAGACUGGAAUUCCUGGUGUAGCGGUGAAAUGCGCAGAUAUCAGGAGGAACACCGGUGGCGAAGGCGGGUCUCUGGGCAACAACUGACGCUGAGGAGCGAAAGCAUGGGGAGCGAACAGG
rnacentral:rRNA from 1 species